AUAGGUGGGAGGCUUUGAAGUGUGGACGCCAGUCUGCAUGGAGCCGACCUUGAAAUACCACCCUUUAAUGUUUGAUGUUCUAACGUGGACCCGUAAUCCGGGUUGCGGACAGUGUCUGGUGGGUAGUUUGACUGGGGCGGUCUCCUCCUAAAGAGUAACGGAGGAGCACGAAGGUUGGCUAAUCCUGGUCGGACAUCAGGAGGUUAGUGCAAUGGCAUAAGCCAGCUUGACUGCGAGCGUGACGGCGCGAGCAGGUGCGAAAGCAGGUCAUAGUGAUCCGGUGGUUCUGAAUGGAAGGGCCAUCGCUCAACGGAUAAAAGGUACUCCGGGGAUAACAGGCUGAUACCGCCCAAGAGUUCAUAUCGACGGCGGUGUUUGGCACCUCGAUGUCGGCUCAUCACAUCCUGGGGCUGAAGUAGGUCCCAAGGGUAUGGCUGUUCGCCAUUUAAAGUGGUACGCGAGCUGGGUUUAGAACGUCGUGAGACAGUUCGGUCCCUAUCUGCCGUGGGCGCUGGAGAACUGAGGGGGGCUGCUCCUAGUACGAGAGGACCGGAGUGGACGCAUCACUGGUGUUCGGGUUGUCAUGCCAAUGGCACUGCCCGGUAGCUAAAUGCGGAAGAGAUAAGUGCUGAAAGCAUCUAAGCACGAAACUUGCCCCGAGAUGAGUUCUCCCUGAGACUUAGAGUCUCCUGAAGGAACG
rnacentral:rRNA from 1 species